UUUCCUCCAAACAGGUUUGCAGCAACUGCUGCAAACAAAGACAGGUGUCAAGCACAUAAAGAAACACAUAAGCAAAAGUCACGUGCAAUACACAUGACCCAUUUUAAGAGAAGUGCCGAUAACCCUGACCUUAACAGCGUUAGCCAAAAAGAGGUCUUCUCCUCAAACACGCCUCUCUCUCCUCUCUCUCAUCUCCUACACCUUUGUUUUCUCAGCAACCUCAGAUCAGUAAAGAGCUUCCUCUCUCUCAGCCUCCAGCCACCUCUGUUUUUCUUCAGCAACCUCAGACCGGCAAGAGCAUCUACUCUCUCAAUCUAACCCAGACGGUACAUAGCCAAGCCAAGCCCCUCUCAUCCUCCUCCUCCACCUUUGUUUUUCUCGAAACCCCAGACCGGCCAGAGAGGGGCGGCCACAUGCAGCGGCCGCCGAUCUCACCUGACCAUAUCUCCAUUCCUCCUCUUCACCCGCUUCCCCCUUCGCCGAUUCUGCCACAUUCACUUUCUCACUCAGCCGAUGCCGCUCCCAUAUAUUUGCCGCCAAGGACCACCACUCCUACCACUCCAUUGUUUCUCGGCAUUCUCCCUGACAGUGACAAAUGCAAUGGUUCUCAAUUUGUUUAGGAAGAAGUUCAAGUAGAACCUACUGAUGGAAGUCCAAACACCCCGAGUAAACACAAUAAGGAAAUUAAGGCACCAACAAUUGGAAUGAAAUUUGAUUGUGAUGAUAUUGCAUAUGAGUUUUACAAACAAUAUGCUCACAGAAUGGGCUUCAGUGUAAGGAAACAAUAUGUUAGGCGAGGAAGUGCUGGACAUGUUAAGAGGAUAUCAUUUUUGUAUCUAUGUAUCUGGACAUGUUAAGGGGAAACAAUAUGCUCAUUUCUAUAUUUUUGUAUCUAUGUAUCUACAUAUUUGAACAAAGGCAGCUUUAGAUGAAUGCAAUAUAAUGAUGAUGGAUGGAAAUUUGAAUUCAAGAAGUUUAA